UGCGUAGGCGGAUAAAUAAGUCAGUGGUGAAAGCCUGCAGCUUAACUGUAGAAUUGCCAUUGAUACUGUUUAUCUUGAAUAUAGUUGAGGUGGGCGGAAUAUGACAUGUAGUGGUGAAAUACUUAGAUAUGUCAUAGAACACCGAUUGCGAAGGCAGCUCACUAAGCUAUGAUUGACGCUGAGGCACGAAAGCGUGGGGAGCAAACAGGAUUAGAUACCCUGGUAGUCC
rnacentral:rRNA from 1 species